rnacentral:tRNA from 1 species
GACCACGUGCCCGAACGGCCAGGGAACCGCCUGCAAAGCGGAUCAAACCGGUUCGACUCCGGUCGCGGUCUCCA